ensembl:lncRNA
AAUAGACUUUGCUACAGCAGCGCCUGGACUGUCGGGAAGCGGGAGAACACUUCAGUCUUCACAGAGUCCCAACGUGUCCGUCUGCACCAGGCUGUGGUUCCCUGGCUCAGGAUUACCCCCCAGCACCACCACUUCUAUAACCACCAUCACCCCCACCACCACCACCACCUCCACCUCCUUCACCUCCACCUCCAGGUUACGCAAAGUAAAGCAACUCUCCCCAGACAAGCAGACGUGGAGGACAUCAGGCUUGGAAGGAGUUCUGGAAAGGCAUGAAAUGUCAGAAGCCAUCUUCUGAACUGACUCCCUCGUGUGAUCCUUGCAGGCAUCUCCACGCAACACGCCGGCCUCUCGUCAUACACAGUCCCACGAACACAUUGAGGAACACAUUGAGUCCCCGUCUCCUCCUCCGUCGUCUCCUUCACUCCCAUUUCCUCUCCCCCUCCCCUCACCCAUCCCUCCUACCCUUUCCUCUCUACCCCAUCC